CCUACGGGAUGCAGCAGUGAGGAAUAUUGGUCAAUGGGCGAGAGCCUGAACCAGCCAAGUCGCGUGAAGGAUGACGGCCCUACGGAUUGUAAACUUCUUUUGUCAGGGAGCAAUUGAGUCCACGUGUGGUCUUAGCGAGAGUACCUGAAGAAAAAGCAUCGGCUAACUCCGUCCCAGCACCCGCGGUAAUACGUAGGAUGCGAGCGUUAUCCGGAUUUAUUGGGUUUAAGGGGUGCGUGGGCGGAAUAUCAAGUCAGCGGUAAAAAUUCGGGGCUCAACCCCGUCGUGCCGUUGAAACUGAUGUUCUUGAGUGGGCGAGAAGUAGGCGGAAUGCGUGGUGUAGCGGUGAAAUGCAUAGAUAUCACGCAGAACUCCGAUUGCGAAGGCAGCAUACCGGCGCCCAACUGACGCUGAGGCACGAAAGCGUGGGUAUCGAACAGGAUUAGAUACCCUAGUAGUC
rnacentral:rRNA from 1 species